rnacentral:rRNA from 1 species
UACGUAGGGCGCAAGCGUUAUCCGGAAUUAUUGGGCGUAAAGAGCUCGUAGGCGGUUUGUCGCGUCUGCCGUGAAAGUCCGGGGCUCAACUCCGGAUCUGCGGUGGGUACGGGCAGACUAGAGUGAUGUAGGGGAGACUGGAAUUCCUGGUGUAGCGGUGAAAUGCGCAGAUAUCAGGAGGAACACCGAUGGCGAAGGCGGGUCUCUGGGCAUUAACUGACGCUGAGGAGCGAAAGCAUGGGGAGCAAACAGG